AAACUGGGAUUAGAUACCCCACUAUGCCUAGCCCUAAAUCUAGAUACCUCCCAUCACACAUGUAUCCGCCUGAGAACUACGAGCACAAACGCUUAAAACUCUAAGGACUUGGCGGUGCCCCAAACCCACCUAGAGGAGCCUGUUCUAUAAUCGAUAAUCCACGAUUCACCCAACCACCCCUUGCCAGCACAGCCUACAUACCGCCGUCGCCAGCCCACCUCUAAUGAAAGAACAACAGUGAGCUCAAUAGCCCCUCGCUAAUAAGACAGGUCAAGGUAUAGCCUAUGGGGUGGGAGAAAUGGGCUACAUUUUCUAACAUAGAACAAACGAAAAAGGACGUGAAACCCGCCCUUAGAAGGAGGAUUUAGCAGUAAAGUGAGAUCAUACCCCCUAAGCUCACUUUAAGACGGCUCUGAGGCACGUACACACCGC
rnacentral:rRNA from 1 species